rnacentral:rRNA from 1 species
UACCAGCACCCCGAGUGGUCGGGACGAUUAUUGGGCCUAAAGCAUCCGUAGCCGGUCUUGCAAGUCUUCCGUUAAAUCCAGCUGCUUAACAGAUGGGCUGCGGAAGAUACUACAAGACUAGGAGGCGGGAGAGGCAAGCGGUACUCAGUGGGUAGGGGUAAAAUCCUCUGAUCCAUUGAAGACCACCAGUGGCGAAGGCGGCUUGCCAGAACGCGCUCGACGGUGAGGGAUGAAAGCUGGGGGAGCAAA